rnacentral:rRNA from 1 species
AGUGAACGCUGGCGGCGUGCUUAACACAUGCAAGUCGAACGAGAACGGAAUAUAGCUUGCUAUAUUUGUCAGCUAAGUGGCGCACGGGUGGGUAAUGUAUAGAUAACCUGCCCUUAAGAAAGGAAUAACAGUUGGAAACGACUGCUAAUGCCCUAUAUGCCUUUAAUACAUAAGUAUGCAAGGGAAACGCUUUAGUGCUUAAGGAUGGGUCUGUAUGGUAUCAGCUUGUUGGUGAGGUAAUGGCUCACCAAGGCUAUGACGCCUAACUGGUUUGAGAGGAUGAUCAGUCACACUGGAACUGAGACACGGUCCAGACUCCUACGGGAGGCAGCAGUGGGGAAUAUUGCACAAUGGACGAAAGUCUGAUGCAGCAACGCCGCGUGGAGGAUGACACAUUUCGAUGCGUAAACUCCUUUUAUAUAGGAAGAUAAUGACGGUACUAUAUGAAUAAGCACCGGCUAACUCCGUGCCAGCAGCCGCAGUAA